UACGAAGGGUGCAAGCGUUACUCGGAAUUACUGGGCGUAAAGGGUGCGUAGGUGGUUUGUUAAGUCUGCUGUGAAAUCCCCGGGCUCAACCUGGGAAUGGCAGUGGAUACUGGCAAGCUAGAGUGCGGUAGAGGGUAGUGGAAUUCCCGGUGUAGCAGUGAAAUGCGUAGAGAUCGGGAGGAACACCAGUGGCGAAGGCGGCUACCUGGACCAGAACUGACACUGAAGCACGAAAGCGUGGGGAGCAAACAGG
rnacentral:rRNA from 1 species